CUAUCUCAACACCAUAAAGCAACAGGGGAAAUGACCCCAACCCUGAGGAUAUUUUUCUUCUUGAUGUUAACAAAUCCUAUAGAGGCUUCGAGUCAUCAGAACAUCAGUCAAGAUCUGCCUCCACAGCUGCAAAGAACCGUGGAAGAAGUCAUAGCUGGAAAGUAUCUAAAUG